rnacentral:rRNA from 1 species
GAUGAACGCUGGCGGCGUGCCUAAUACAUGCAAGUCGAGCGAACGGACGAGAAGCUUGCUUCUCUGAUGUUAGCGGCGGACGGGUGAGUAACACGUGGAUAACCUACCUAUAAGACUGGGAUAACUUCGGGAAACCGGAGCUAAUACCGGAUAAUAUUUUGAACCGCAUGGUUCAAAAGUGAAAGACGGUCUUGCUGUCACUUAUAGAUGGAUCCGCGCUGCAUUAGCUAGUUGGUAAGGUAACGGCUUACCAAGGCAACGAUGCAUAGCCGACCUGAGAGGGUGAUCGGCCACACUGGAACUGAGACACGGUCCAGACUCCUACGGGAGGCAGCAGUAGGGAAUCUUCCGCAAUGGGCGAAAGCCUGACGGAGCAACGCCGCGUGAGUGAUGAAGGUCUUCGGAUCGUAAAACUCUGUUAUUAGGGACGAACAUAUGUGUAAGUAACUGUGCACAUCUUGACGGUACCUAAUCAGAAAGCCACGGCUAACUACGUGCCAGCAGCCGCGGUAAUACGUAGGUGGCAAGCGUUAUCCGGAAUUAUUGGGCGUAAAGCGCGCGUAGGCGGUUUUUUAAGUCUGAUGUGAAAGCCCACGGCUCAACCGUGGAGGGUCAUUGGAAACUGGAAAACUUGAGUGCAGAAGAGGAAAGUGGAAUUCCAUGUGUAGCGGUGAAAUGCGCAGAGAUAUGGAGGAACACCAGUGGCGAAGGCGACUUUCUGGUCUGUAACUGACGCUGAUGUGCGAAAGCGUGGGGAUCAAACAGGAUUAGAUACCCUGGUAGUCCACGCCGUAAACGAUGAGUGCUAAGUGUUAGGGGGUUUCCGCCCCCUUAGUGCUGCAGCUAACGCAUUAAGCACUCCGCCUGGGGAGUACGACCGCAAGGUUGAAACUCAAAGGAAUUGACGGGGACCCGCACAAGCGGUGGAGCAUGUGGUUUAAUUCGAAGCAACGCGAAGAACCUUACCAAAUCUUGACAUCCUUUGACAACUCUAGAGAUAGAGCCUUCCCCUUCGGGGGACAAAGUGACAGGUGGUGCAUGGUUGUCGUCAGCUCGUGUCGUGAGAUGUUGGGUUAAGUCCCGCAACGAGCGCAACCCUUAAGCUUAGUUGCCAUCAUUAAGUUGGGCACUCUAAGUUGACUGCCGGUGACAAACCGGAGGAAGGUGGGGAUGACGUCAAAUCAUCAUGCCCCUUAUGAUUUGGGCUACACACGUGCUACAAUGGACAAUACAAAGGGCAGCGAAACCGCGAGGUCAAGCAAAUCCCAUAAAGUUGUUCUCAGUUCGGAUUGUAGUCUGCAACUCGACUACAUGAAGCUGGAAUCGCUAGUAAUCGUAGAUCAGCAUGCUACGGUGAAUACGUUCCCGGGUCU